rnacentral:rRNA from 1 species
AACGAACGCUGGCGGCAUGCCUAACACAUGCAAGUCGAACGAGACCUUCGGGUCUAGUGGCGCACGGGUGCGUAACGCGUGGGAACCUGCCCUUAGGUUCGGAAUAACUCCCCGAAAGGGGUGCUAAUACCGGAUAAUGUCUUCGGACCAAAGAUUUAUCGCCUUUGGAUGGGCCCGCGUUGGAUUAGCUAGUUGGUAGGGUAAAAGCCUACCAAGGCGACGAUCCAUAGCUGGUCUGAGAGGAUGAUCAGCCACACUGGGACUGCGACACGGCCCAGACUCCUACGGGAGGCAGCAGUGGGGAAUAUUGGACACUGGGCGAAAGCCUGAUCCAGCAAUGCCGCGUGAGUGAUGAAGGCCUUAGGGUUGUAAAGCUCUUUUACCCGGGAUGAUAAUGACGGUACCGGGAGAAUAAGCUCCGGCUAACUCCGUG